UACGGGGGGGGCAAGCGUUGUUCGGAAUUACUGGGCGUAAAGGGCUCGUAGGCGGCCAACUAAGUCAGACGUGAAAUCCCUCGGCUUAACCGGGGAACUGCGUCUGAUACUGGAUGGCUUGAGUUUGGGAGAGGGAUGCGGAAUUCCAGGUGUAGCGGUGAAAUGCGUAGAUAUCUGGAGGAACACCGGUGGCGAAGGCGGCAUCCUGGACCGACAUUGACGCUGAGUGAGCGAAAGCUAGGGGAGCAAACGGG
rnacentral:rRNA from 1 species